rnacentral:rRNA from 1 species
AGUGAACGCUGGCGGUAGGCCUAACACAUGCAAGUCGAACGGCAGCACAGUAAGAGCUUGCUAUUACGGGUGGAGAGUGGCGGACGGGUGAGGAAUACAUCGGAAUCUACUUUUUCGUGGGGGAUAAAGUGGGGAAACUUACGCUAAUACCGCAUACGACCUACGGGUGAAAGCAGGGGAUCUUCGGACUUUGCGCGAAUGAAUGAGCCGAUGUCGGGUUAGCUAGUUGGCGGGGUACAGGCCCACCAAGGGGACGAUCCGUAGCUGGUCUGAGAGGAUGAUCAGCCACACUGGAACUGAGACACGGUCCAGACUCCUACGGGAGGCAGCAGUGGGGAAUAUUGGACAAUGGGCGCAAGCCUGAUCCAGCCAUACCGCGUGGGUGAAGAAGGCCUUCGGGUUGUAAAGCCCUUUUGUUGGGAAAGAAAAGCAGCAGGUUAAUACCCCGCUGUUCUGACGGUACCCAAAGAAUAAGCACCGGCUAACUUCGUG